GACCUGGAACCUCCACCCCAGCUGUUCCAAACAGCUCCCAAUUGUUCCUUUCUUCCUCAGCACACACUUGAUCUGGGCUCCCUGCUCUUGUAUUCUUUCCUCUUGACUCCACCAUGGCUUGACUUCUUCCUCUGGGAGUAGAAGUUGAUGGCAGAAUGCUUUAAGUCGAUGGCAAGACACAAAUCAGGACAACUGGUGCUGAUCUAGGAUGCAAUGGAAGACCUUGUCAUUGUUGAUGUCUGACCAAACUCUAAACUCUACACAACACUGCAAUAAAUUGUUUUCAUUCAUCCAUUCUGUUAGAGAAAUCUUCACAUGUAGAUAUCCCCCUAGUUUACCAACAGAUUUGAAGACUGUUCCUUACCUUCAAUCUGGUUUAGCCCAUGUGUUGUUUUCCCCAGGUGUAGCUGCUAUGCAUGCUACAGUUUCUUGGAAGGAUAAUCAAUAAAGAGAAGGCAUUGAGGGCAAUCAGAAAAGAGAUCUUGGCAAACGGUGACAUUUUUGUUGAAACUAGAAGGAAACCAAGGAACUCAUCCAAGAAGAGGAGAUUCAAGGCAAAAGAACUAGUGUGACUUCCUAUAGGUUCUCUCCAACCCAAGAAAAAGGCUUUUCCUUCAAAAGCUAAGGGUAGGGGCAGCUAGAUAGUGAAAGUGGAUUGAGCACAGGCUCUAGAGUCGGGAGGACCUGAGUUUAAAUCCAGCCUCUGACAUUUAACACUCCCUAGCUGUGCCCCACAGUGAUUGGGCAAGUCAUUUAACCCCAGUUGACCUCACAAAAAACCCACAAACAAAUAAAAAACCAAGAACCCCAAAACAAAAACUGACCUUCAUGAAUUUCCUUCUCCUUCCCCCCAAAAACUCCAAUCCUAAUCAUACCCAUUAUUCCUCUACUGUGCUUUCAAGUAGUACCAUGGGCCUUAUUUUUCUAUUUUUUAUGAAAAAUGUUUCCAAACUAUGCCCAAAGGGCUAUCAAACUGUGUAUAUCCUUUGAUCCAGCAGUUAUCUACUGAGUCUGUAUCCCAAAGAGAUCAUAAAUGAUGCAAAGGGACUCACAUGUGCAGAAAUGUUUGCAGCAGUCCUUUUUGUAAUGGCAAGGAACUGAAAACAGAGUGGUCCAUCAGCUGGGGGGCUGAAUAAGUUAUGGCAUAUGAAUAUAAUGGAAUAUUAUUGUUCCAUAAGAAUUGAUCAGCAGGAUGAUUUCAGAACGCCCUGAAGAGACUUGUAUGAACUGAUGCUGAGUGAAAUGAAUAGAACCAAGAGAACAUUGUACACAGCAGCAAGAAGAUUAUGUGAUGAUCAACUCUGAUGGACAUGGCUCUCUUCAACAAGGAGGUGAUUCAGGCCAGUUCCAAUAGACUUGUGAUGGAGAGAGUCAUCUCCAUACAGAAAGGAGACUGUGGGGACUGAAUGUGGAUCACAGCAUAGUAUUUUUACCUUUUUUGUUGCUUUUUUUCUUUUUCAUUUUUUCUUCCUUUUUGAUCUGAUUUUUCUUGAUAAAUGUGGAAAUAUUAUAGACAAACUGUACAUGUUUAACAUAUAUUAGAUUACUUGAUAUCUAGAGGGGAGAAGGAGAGAGAAAAAUUUGCAACACAACUUUUGCAAAGGUGAAUGUUGGAAACUAUCUUUGCAUAUAUUUUGAAAAUCAAAAGCUAUUAUUAAAAAAAAGAAAAAAGAAAAAUGUUUCCAAACUAUUUCCCCCUUUCCCUCUUCCUUUCAUGUCUGUAUAGCUUUUCCGCGUCAGACAUGAAGCUCACCCAGCUGCAGGGCAAGACUGUAUUUUCUCUAUUAGAGUGGACUGCUCUCUGGGGGAUAAGGUCUUUUC
ensembl:lncRNA